CUCUCCGCAGGGCUGAGGUUUGCAUUUCCCACUGGCGCCGCGGUGCCCCCGGCCCUAGCUAAAACCUUGCGGUGCCCGCGGGCUCGUGUGUGCACAGGUCAUCUAUGUGGCACCUUGAAAGCAGCGCUGUCCCCGUGAGGCUUUUGAGAACUUGAAACGCGGCUAGUUCGGGUUGAAUCGUGCAUGGGCUGAUAUGAAAUGGUAACUCAUCAUGAUUUUGAUCAUCUCUUUCAUGAAUAACAAUGGAGAAUGAUUUUGCUCAAGUAUCUACCCCGCCCACAAGGCUUAUGGGCCCAAAUGGAGCUUACCCUGUGGCGUUUCUCUGUCCACACCCAAGGUCAAUAUGGCAGAAGCCAUUUUGCCACCAGGCUGCAAAUGAAGCCACCAUCCCGAGGGAGGCAGAGUUUAGAAAGUCACCAGAAAAUGGAGCUCCUGCUGCUGUUGGACGAGGUCAGUCUCAGGCCUGCUCUGCUGAACUUUCCAUCUGCCUCAUCUUUGGUGUAAUCACUACAUGACUGUCAGAAUUUGUAGGUUUCAAAAACAGACACAUAGACCAAUGGAACAGAAUAGAGAACCCGGAAGUGGACCCUCGGCUCUUUGGGCAACUAAUCUUUGAUAAAGCAGGAAAAAACAUCUGGUGGAAAAAAGACAGUC